UACAGAGGUCCCAAGCGUUGUUCGGAUUCAUUGGGCGUAAAGGGUGCGUAGGCGGCGCGGGAAGUCGGGUGUGAAAUCUCGGAGCUUAACUCCGAAACUGCAUUCGAUACUGCCGUGCUUGAGGACUGGAGAGGAGACUGGAAUUUACGGUGUAGCGGUGAAAUGCGUAGAUAUCGGAAGGAACACCAGUGGCGAAAGCGGCUUCCUGGUCCAGCACCGACGUUCAGGCACGAAAGCGUGGGGAGCAAACAGG
rnacentral:rRNA from 1 species